CCUAGCACUCAAAUCUAUCCAUGACUGUUAAU
rnacentral:sRNA from 1 species